rnacentral:rRNA from 1 species
GUAGGGAAUAUUGGGCAAUGGUCGGAAGACUGACCCAGCCAUGCCGCGUGCAGGAAGACGGCCCUCUGGGUUGUAAACUGCUUUUAUCUGGGAAGAAAAAGGCCAUGCGUGGCAAAUUGCCGGUACCAGAUGAAUAAGCACCGGCUAACUCCGUGCCAGCAGCCGCGGUAAUACGGAGGGUGCGAGCGUUGUCCGGAUUUAUUGGGUUUAAAGGGUGCGUAGGCGGCUGAUUAAGUCAGCGGUGAAAGACUUCGGCUUAACCGGAGCAGUGCCGUUGAUACUGGUUGGCUUGAGUGUCGGAGGGGGACAUGGAAUUGAUGGUGUAGCGGUGAAAUGCAUAGAUACCAUCAGGAACACCGAUAGCGAAGGCAUUGUACUGGCCGACAACUGACGCUGAUGCACGAAAGUGUGGGGAUCGAACAGGAUUAGAUACCCCGGUAGUCC